rnacentral:rRNA from 1 species
UACGGGAGGCAGCAGUGGGGAAUAUUGCACAAUGGAGGAAACUCUGAUGCAGCGACGCCGCGUGAGUGAGGAAGUAUUUCGGUAUGUAAAGCUCUAUCAGCAGGGAAGAAAAAAAUGACGGUACCUGACUAAGAAGCCCCGGCUAACUACGUGCCAGCAGCCGCGGUAAU